GAAGAUUCCACAUAUCUGAUCUCACUCCAGGUACAGAGUACAUGUUCAGAGUAAUCCCGUUUGAGAAUGCACGGGAGUUAGCAAAGUGGGAAGUCGGAGUAAACACUGAAACCAUGUCCUCGACAAGACCGCAAUGUGGAAAUCAGAAAACAAACAGCAGUUGCCUAUCGAACCUUUCUUCGGAAGAAUCUAACACUAAUGCUUU
rnacentral:misc_RNA from 1 species